rnacentral:rRNA from 1 species
AGGAUGAACGCUGGCGGCGUGCUUAACACAUGCAAGUCGAACGGUGAAGUGAGGAGCUUGCUCCUUGCGGAUCAGUGGCGAACGGGUGAGUAACACGUGAGUAACCUGCCCUUGACUCUGGGAUAAGCACUGGAAACGGUGUCUAAUACCGGAUACGACCUCCGAAGGCAUCUUCUGGAAGUGGAAAGAAUUUCGGUCAAGGAUGGACUCGCGGCCUAUCAGCUAGUUGGUGAGGUAACGGCCCACCAAGGCGACGACGGGUAGCCGGCCUGAGAGGGUGACCGGCCACACUGGGACUGAGACACGGCCCAGACUCCUACGGGAGGCAGCAGUGGGGAAUAUUGCACAAUGGGCGCAAGCCUGAUGCAGCAACGCCGCGUGAGGGACGACGGCCUUCGGGUUGUAACCUCUUUAGUAGGAAGAAGCGAAAGUGACGGUACCUGCAGAAAAGCGACCGGCUAACUACGUGCCAGCAGCCGCGGU